rnacentral:rRNA from 1 species
UAGGGAAUCUUCGGCAAUGGACGAAAGUCUGAUCGAGCAACGCCGCGUGAGUGAAGAAGGUUUUCGGAUCGUAAAACUCUGUUGUUAGAGAAGAACAAGGACGUUAGUAACUGAACGUCCCCUGACGGUAUCUAACCAGAAAGCCACGGCUAACUACGUGCCAGCAGCCGCGGUAAUACGUAGGUGGCAAGCGUUGUCCGGAUUUAUUGGGCGUAAAGCGAGCGCAGGCGGUUUCUUAAGUCUGAUGUGAAAGCCCCCGGCUCAACCGGGGAGGGUCAUUGGAAACUGGGAGGCUUGAGUGCAGAAGAGGAGAGUGGAAUUCCAGGUGUAGCGGUGAAAUGCGUAGAUAUAUGGAGGAACACCAGUGGCGAAGGCGGCUCUCUGGUCUGUAACUGACGCUGAGGCUCGAAAGCGUGGGGAGCAAACAGG